rnacentral:rRNA from 1 species
UACACAGGAAAGUCGAGCGGGGGANNUANNNUGCUCCCGACCUACCGGCGGACGGGUGAGUAAUGCUUAGGAAUCUGCCUAUUAGUGGGGGACAACAUCUCGAAAGGGAUGCUAAUACCGCAUACGUCCUACGGGAGAAAGCAGGGGAUCUUCGGACCUUGCGCUAAUAGAUGAGCCUAAGUCGGAUUAGCUAGUUGGUGGGGUAAAGGCCUACCAAGGCGACGAUCUGUAGCGGGUCUGAGAGGAUGAUCCGCCACACUGGGACUGAGACACGGCCCAAACUCCUACGGGAGGCAGCAGUGGGGAAUAUUGGACAAUGGGGGGAACCCUGAUCCAGCCAUGCCGCGUGUGUGAAGAAGGCCUUAUGGUUGUAAAGCACUUUAAGCGAGGAGGAGGCUACUCUAGUUAAUACCUAGGGAUAGUGGACGUUACUCGCAGAAUAAGCACCGGCUAACUCUGUGCCAGCAGCCGCGGUAAUACAGAGGGUGCGAGCGUUAAUCGGAUUUACUGGGCGUAAAGCGUGCGUAGGCGGCUUAUUAAGUCGGAUGUGAAUCCCCGAGCUUAACUUGGGAAUUGCAUUCCAUACUGGUGAGCUAGAGUAUGGGAGAGAUGGUAGAAUCC